CCAUCAAAAUACAUCAAUUCCUCUAAAUCAACUAUCAAAAUAUAACAAAAUAUUAUCCGAAUCAAUUCAAUCUACAAUCAAAAUACAAUCAAAAUUAUUCAAAAUACAACAAUUCCCCAAAAUCAAAAUACAACAAUACAUAAAGAAACCUAGCAAGUAACACACACAAAAUAUAUCUAUGUAAGAAGUAGGCAGGUUAAUUUGGGAUCUGCCACGUUUAUGAUGAUAAAGAGCCAGAUGGCUUGAAAUAAGGAGAAAUCAUCAUCCACCUCACACCUUCCUCCUUAUUAAAAAAAAAAAAGAGGCAGCAAGAAUUGAGUUGCAAAUAGAAGAAAAAUGUCAGGAUCGACGGUAGAAACUCACGACAAGAUUGACGGCGGCGGCGAUGGAGAUGAAGGCGGUGAAGAUAGACGGCGACAUCGAUGGAGAUGAAGGCGGCGUUUCUCGAUGGAGAUCGGUGGAGAUAGAUCGGUGGAGAGAGAGAGAGAGGAGAGGAGAGGAUGCGGUGGCCGGCGGAGGCGGAGGCGGUGGCCGGCGACUGUGAAGCGGCGGCGAGGACGAGAACAGCAGUGUAGUGGUGGUGGUGGGGGGCAACUGUGCAGCGGUGGUGGUGGG
rnacentral:lncRNA from 1 species